GACGAACGCUGGCGGCGUGCUUAACACAUGCAAGUCGAACGGAAAGGCCCUGCUUUUGUGGGGUGCUCGAGUGGCGAACGGGUGAGUAACACGUGAGUAACCUGCCCUUGACUUUGGGAUAACUUCAGGAAACUGGGGCUAAUACCGGAUAGGAGCUCCUGCUGCAUGGUGGGGGUUGGAAAGUUUCGGCGGUUGGGGAUGGACUCGCGGCUUAUCAGCUUGUUGGUGGGGUAGUGGCUUACCAAGGCUUUGACGGGUAGCCGGCCUGUGAGGGUGACCGGCCAAGUUGGGACUGAGGUACGGCCCAAACUCCUACGGAAGGCAGCAGUGGGGAAUAAUGCACGAUGGGCGGAAGCCUGAUGCAGAAACGCCGCGUGCGGGAUGACGGCCUUCGGGUUGUAAACCGCUUUCGCCUGUGACGAAGCGUGAGUGACGGUAAUGGGUAAAGAAGCACCGGCUAACUACGUG
rnacentral:rRNA from 1 species